GAUGAAGAACGUAGUGAAAUGCGAUAAGUAAUGCGAAUUGCAGAAUUCCAGUGAGUCAUCGAAUCUUUGAACGCACAUUGCGCCCUUUGGUAUUCCGAAGGGCAUGCCUGUUCGAGCGUCAUUAUCACCCCUCAAGCCCUCGGCUUGGUGUUGGACGGUUUGGUGGAGGCCCCCUCGGGGGUUCCUGCCCCUCCCAAAGACAAUGACGGCGGCCUCGUUGGACCCCCGGUACACUGAGUUCUUCACGGGACACGUAUCGGACACAUGGGUUUACGGGACACGGUCUGCCUCCCCUCAGGGAGAAUCUUUCUAAGGUUGACCUCGGAUCAGGUAGGGAUACCCGCUGAAAUUAAGCAUAUCAAUAAGCGGAGGA
rnacentral:misc_RNA from 1 species